rnacentral:lncRNA from 1 species
AACUGCAAAAUAGCAAAGCUGAAAGAAAAUCUCCCGUCUCGGCUCCUCCGCUCCUUGCGCCAUCUUGCGGCUGAACAGGGGAGGCGGCGAGCAGAGCAGGGGAGAGGAGGGGAUCCUGCAGCUAUGGACUCAGUGGUGUUGGAGUGUGGCGACAUCUCCGCUUCCCAGGAAGAACUCCUUGCCCACUCCUCAUUCCUCAAUGGUGGUGAUGAUGGUGAGGUCUUCAGCACACCUCCCACAACUCAAGAGGACGCCAUCACCAUGUGCACCCUCCCCUUCACCCAGUCCCAGUCCCCAGCACCAGCACCAUUGCCAUCACCAGCAGCCGUGUCGCGCACCACCCCUGGAUGCAGCUCCUCAGAGGACAACCGAGACGAUGAGAUGAGCGAUAUUGUCAAGCAGCGGCGCAGGCCUAGGGUUUGCACAAGAAAGGUGAGGUGGGGUGCCAAGAUCAGGACCCCAACCCCAAGCCCAGAUCGCACCACCUCUGAAGUGGAGAACAAGGAUGGUGAUCCUCUGUACAAGGCAGUUCUCAUGAUUCCCACAAGGGAUAGCACUCCUGCCAUUCCUAUGGACCUGAUCGCGCUUGCUCACCAGCGAGGCCUCUUCUAG